UCUACAUUCUCCGUCUGUACCUGAAGAUUUUCAACUCCAUAUGUACAUGCAAGCUAGCUCAUCCGCAUCACUUCAUUUUGCUGCUAUAAACGUGAAUAUUGUGAGGCAUACAUAGAAAACAGCGACUUUUCAACUUGACCAUAGCAAUACCUGCCUUCGUCUUCAUUUUAAUUUUUUUUGGUAUUAAUUAUUAUGAAUUUGGGUUAUUUUUCUUUUGCAUUGGCAAAUCUUUAUUUUAAUUAAAAUUUUUGGACCUGGUGCAUAAGUAAAUCACAACAUUGAAUCGUUUCUAUAAAAAAAGGGCAUCAUCUUUUAAGGAUUAAGUUUUUUUAUUUUAUUUUAAUUUUUAUAUUUUCAAGAAACGAUAUUUCAUUAGAUAGGUUUUAAUCAUACAUCAAGACGUCUAUAGACAUUUAUGAUGCCAAGUAUGGGUGGACAAACGAGUACAAGAACCAUGGGUCGGGGCGGGUACGGGCAGGUUCCAAAUGUUUUAGAAACUAAACGGGACGGGCCGGGUCUUAAACCCUAGAAAAACGGGGCCCUGGACCGACCCGUUUCUAAUUAUAAUGAACGGUUGAGAUUGAAUGAUACCCUAUCAUUCAAUCUGAACCGUUAGUUUCAACCCUACCUUUAAUCGUCCAGAUUUCCAUUUUCCAGAAUCUGAUCUGUCUCUCACUCACUCCCACCUCUCCACGGACCACGACCGUCCGUCACUUCCAAUCCCUGGACUCCGACGACAUCCCAGAGGACCCAGCCCAUCACCGCCGCCGCAACCAACACAACGGCACCACCCACCAGCCAUCCUCCGCGACGACAUCCCAGGACCCAGAUAACCCAGGUCCCAGAACCUCGAUUCUCUCCUCUUCGAAUUCGCAAUCUCUCUCUCGUCGCAGCCUCUUCGUUCUCAGUGUCAGGAAGAAGCCGAAGAGGAGGAAGAAGUAGAGUCUGAAGAGGAAUCAGAAGAAGAACAGGAAGAAUCCGAAGUCAGUAUACUCAUUAUUUGUUCUUGAUUAUGUGUCAUGAUCUGUUUGACCUAGACUUUACUUGAAAGCUACAAAAUUCUUGAUUUUAGUAGUUUGCAUAUUUCUGUUUCUGAUGAAUUGUUGUAUAUUAAAACAUAUUAGUUCACUUGUUGCCGUCGUAUCAUGUGUUUAUGGGAGUACCAUUAGUUGACUUCUAGUUUAUCUUCUCAUCUAGCCGUGUAAAGAUAUAUUUUUGCUAUACAUGUUGGCCUGUUUACUUUGAA